AGAGUUUGAUCAUGGCUCAGAACGAACGCUGGCGGCAUGCCUAACACAUGCAAGUCGAACGCUCCCGGGGCUUCGGUCUCGGGGGAGUGGCGCACGGGUGAGUAGCGCGUGGGGACCUGCCCUGUUGUGGGGGAUAACCGAGGGAAACUUCGGCUAAUACCGCAUAAGCCGGGAAACCGGGAAAGAUUUAUCGCGAUAGGAGGGGCCCGCGUCGGAUUAGCUAGUUGGUGGGGUAACGGCCCACCAAGGCUUUGAUCCGUAGCUGGUCUGAGAGGAUGAUCAGCCACACUGGGACUGAGACACGGCCCAGACUCCUACGGGAGGCAGCAGUGGGGAGUAUUGGACAAUGGGCGCAAGCCUGAUCCAGCAAUGCCGCGUGAGUGAUGAAGGCCUUAGGGUUGUAAAGCUCUUUCGCCCGCGACGAUGAUGACGGUAGCGGGAGAAGAAGCCCCGGCUAACUUCGUGCCAGCAGCCGCGGUAAUACGAAGGGGGCGAGCGUUGUUCGGAUUUACUGGGCGUAAAGGGCGCGUAGGCGGCCCUUCAAGUCAGGCGUGAAAGCCCCGGGCUCAACCUGGGAGGUGCGCUUGGGACUGGAGGGCUUGAGUUCGGGAGAGGAGCGUGGAAUUCCCAGUGUAGAGGUGAAAUUCGUAGAUAUUGGGAAGAACACCGGGCGAAGGCGGCGCUCUGGACCGAGACUGACGCUGAGGCGCGAAAGCGUGGGGAGCAAACAGGAUUAGAUACCCUAGUAGUCC
rnacentral:rRNA from 1 species